rnacentral:sRNA from 1 species
UUAAUAGCCAGGGAGAGUGAAGUCCUCAGUUUAUCCAGAGAGCUGGUGCAGCACGAACAGCCAGUGCUAUCCUCCCACCAGUGUCCUGCCAAUGUGCCUCCACACCCAUUCAAUCACUGGCCUCUCUUCUGAAGCCAACAAGGUGCCAACUGUGGUGCAGACCCUUGUUCAGUGGGACAAGGGAUUGA